rnacentral:rRNA from 1 species
GAUGAACGCUGGCGGCGUGCCUAAUACAUGCAAGUCGAGCGAACAGACGAGGAUCUUUCUCCUCUGACGUUAGCGGCGGACGGGUGAGUAACACGUGGAUAACCUACCUCUAAGACUGGGUUAACUUCGGGAUACCUGAUCUCAUACCGGCUAUUAUAUUGAACCGCAUGGUUCAAUAGUGAAAGCCGUUUUUGCUGUCACUUAUAGAUGGUUCCGCGCCGCAUUAGCUAGUUGGUAAGGUAACGGCUUACCAAGGCAACGAUGCGUAGCCGACCUGAGAGGGUGAUCGGCCACACUGGAACUGAGACACGGUCCAGACUCCUACGGGAGGCAGCAGUAGGGAAUCUUCCGCAAAGGGCGAAAGCUUGACGGAGCAACGCCGCGUGAGUGAUGAAGGUCUUCGGAUCGUAAAACUCUGUUAUUAGGGAAGAACAAAUGUGUAAGUAAAUAUGCACGUCUUGACGGUACCUAAUCAGAAAGCCACGGCUAACUACGUG